rnacentral:misc_RNA from 1 species
GAUGAAGAACGCAGCGAAAUGCGAUAAGUAAUGCGAAUUGCAGAAUUCAGUGAGUCAUCGAAUCUUUGAACACACAUUGCGCCCUGUGGUAUUCCGCAGGGCAUGCCUGUUCGAGCGUCAUUUCAACCCUCAAGCCUCGCUUGGUGUUGGGCCCUGCCCGCCGCGGCCGGCCCUAAAGAUAGUGGCGGCGCCGCCCGGCCCUCAGCGUAGUACAGCUCUCGCUCCAGGGUCCGGCGGCAGCCUGCCAGAACCCCCCAACUCUGUGGUUGACCUCGGAUCAGGUAGGGAUACCCGCUGAACUUAAGCAUAUCAAUAAGCGGAGGA